AAUAGCACUGAUUUAAACAAUGCCUCAUAGAUGACCUAUCUGGAAAAUUUGGAAAUCUAAAAGUUGGCCCAGGAGGGGAUGCUGAAGGUAGUUUUGAAAUCAUAGAUACUAUUAGUCAAUCUACAGAGGCACAAAUUCCACCAACAGCAUCAGAACCAGUUCCUCCGAUUAAAGAAGAACCAGAAAAGAUAAAAAAGUGGAGGGAAGAACAGAAAACACGUCUUGAAGAAAAAGAUGCAGAAGAAGAAAAAAAGAAAGAAGAAUGGAGAGAAGCUGCAAAGAAAGAGUUAGAAGAAUGGUACAAGCAUCAUGCUGAAGCUAUUAAUAAAACAAAAUCUACAAACAGGUAAUUUUAUUAAUCAUCUUUUAUUUUUCCCUGUCUAUUCUGUGAAAGAGUUGACAAAAUUGAACAUUAAAUUGUGAUUGCUAAGAAA